UUACGACUUACGCAAGAAGGAGUGGUGUAAUAAAGUAUUUUUUAAAGUGAUUUGAGGCGGUAGGUCGAAGUGGUCCACCGCCCAUCUCAGUUGGUUAAAAAUGUUUGAGCACGGAGCAACUACCGUGGGCCACUGACCCAUCGAUCCAGGAAUUUAUACACACCCACGAGUCGAAGGGUGGGGUGAGGUACGCAGAGCACAUCCUUCGACAUAAAUUUCCACAGAAAAAGAUUCCCACUUGAGGUAAUACCCAUUACCAGAAGAAUUCAAUAUCGUCGAAUCGCCAAAUGUACUUUUCUUGAAGAAUACAUCUGUAACAUCUGUAACGUCUGCAACGUCUGUAACAUCUGUAACAUCUGUGGCAUCUGUAACAUCUGUAAGAUUUGUAACAUCUGUACCAUAUCCAUCCAGGUGUAUUUAAAUGCUAAGAAUAUCCCAUUCCACGAACGAGGAAAUUUAGCUUGCGUGGACUUUAUAAAGGCUCGAUUGGGUAAACUGGGAGAAACUGUUAAAAAUACUAAAGAGGAAAGGUGAGAACUGGAGAGAGACGACUAAUACAAAACAUAUAUCAAACAAAAGGCAAAAAUCAAGACGGAUUGGUUUGGUAUCGGAAUAGGAGUUAGAGAGGAAUGCUACUUACCAACUUUGUUUAAUUUAUAUGGCAUGGCAUGAUUGCGUAUGCUGAAAGUAAAAAGAGUUUAAGAUAUUGUUAGUAAGGAUAGACCAAAUCAGAAAAACAGAGUGUGGCCUAAGAAUUAAUAAAAACAAAGAGAACCAAUGAGAAAACAACU